GACGAACGCUGGCGGCGUGCUUAACACAUGCAAGUCGAACGGAAAGGCCCUGCUUUUGUGGGGUGCUCGAGUGGCGCACGGGUGAGUAACACGUGAGUAACCUGCCCUUGACUUUGGGAUAACUUCAGGAAACUGGGGCUAAUACCGGAUAGGAGCUCCUGCUGCAUGGUGGGGGUUGGAAAGUUUCGGCGGUUGGGGAUGGACUCGCGGCUUAUCAGCUUGUUGGUGGGGUAGUGGCUUACCAAGGCUUUGACGGGUAGCCGGCCUGAGAGGGUGACCGGCCACAUUGGGACUGAGAUACGGCCCAGACUCCUACGGGAGGCAGCAGGGGGGAAUAUUGCACAAUAGGCGGAAGCCUGAUGCAGCAACGCCGCGUGCGGGAUGACGGCCUUCGGGUUAUAAACCGAUGUGGCCUGUGACGAAGCGGGAGUGACGGUAAUGGGUAAAGAAGCACCGGCUAACUACGUG
rnacentral:rRNA from 1 species